AGUUUGAAGAAAAUAUAAUCUGAUUAAACAUUAUUCAGCUUUAAACAUUGUUCAGCUUUAAAGUUACUGUGCAACUGUGUAAUAAAAAUGUGCUCACGACUUUGGCCUUGAGAGCGAUAAGAAGCGAUCGCCUCAUCCUGCAGGUGCAAGAUAUCUGCAAGCGAAGAGGCUAGAACACCCAAGGCCGAUUUCCUUUUAUGGAGUUGUUUUUCUGCUAGUGCAGCACUUUCCCCCCUCCUGUAAGUUUUAGAGAAUAUAUACCCAUCCUCACAGCAAAUCUUCGGAAUCUCCUGAUGUGAGCUGUGUUGAGAGGUUGUCUCUGUCUCAAUAAAAGUUCACUGAUUCCCCAUCUGCCGCAGGUGUCCGGUUGUCUUCAUUCUCCGCCAGCCUGGAUCCGCUCCAGGUCAACUGGAACGGAUGGGAGGACUUCGGCCGUGGUCUGAGUGAACGGAGUUUGGACAAAAGUUGUGUACACACAAAAACAAGGUAAGCAGACCUUUUAUUUCUGCUAUAUUGAACAUUAUAAAAAUACUUAGUGUCCAAACUCCUAGUAAUUCAUAACCAAAAUUGUCUGGCUUACUUAAGGCUUGUUGAGAAUCAGACAAGUGAAUAAGAAAUAAGUGAAUAAGAGAUAAGUGAAUAAGAAAUAAGUGAAUAAGUGAAUAAAGAUAAGAGUGAACUGAGGUCUGACCACGGUUGCAGCCGACGGGUUGCUCUCCGGUGUCGGAUACAUACCUCAGUGCAGGUCUGGGACCUUGAAAGGGUUUAUUAGUAACGCCUUUCUAAACAAUUAAAAGGUUAAAGGCCUUGAGAAUAUUUUUUAGUAAUAUUCUCUAAACUACAGAAGGGUUAGGAAGGCCCAGAGGACUUUAUUAGAAAAGAUCCUCUAAAACUUAAAAAGGAAAAGUACUGGUUGGAGUCCAAAGGAGGGGUCCCUUUGAUCAAUAGGAGAAAACGGAUCUCUUCUUAAAACCCCGAUGAUUUUAGUGUUUUAAAUGUUUUGAUGUUCUGUUUGAUAUUUGACACACAUAAAUACACGCUGAAUGCUUGCUGUGGAACACUGGGCAGGACAGUUUGGUUCUCCGUUGUUCACAGAUUACACAAUUAAAGGAACUAGGUUCCUCUUUUGGUUAAAAUAAUACACCACACAUAGAAUUUUUUUUUUACACAUUUAUUACAUACAUAAGGAGGGUAAUGAGUGACUGCAGGUAAUGUAUGAAGUGUGAAUGAGACGUGUGAACAAGGUGACAACCAACUAGCACCCCUAUCAGGAAGCUCUAGGCAAGGUUACCCGCCAGACUCCGGUUUGGUAGAAGCUUGGUAACACCUGAAGGGAUAUUUCAGUGCUGACUCACCUUUAAAGCAGCGCCCCAGCUGUUAGUGCCUAACAGAGGCAGAAACCCAGCUGGCCCAAAUUCUCCUUUAAAAUCAAUAAAAGAACACUCCUCCAUUGACAGUAAAAUGGAUGGAGAAUUAGAUAGAGAAACUAAUGAUGAUGGUUGGGGUCCCGGUGUUAUUCUUAGCACAUUGGGAGAACAAUUAACAUGUGUUGAGACAGUCAUCAACUCCACACACCAGCCUAAAGAAGCAAAAAAGCAGAAAGAGUUAUUGAGGAAAACAGCUGAAAGGUUAAUGAAAGAAAAGGGAAAGAACGAGGGGAGUAGUGGUAACUGGGGAAUAAUUUGGCAGAAUAAGGCUAUGCAGG